rnacentral:rRNA from 1 species
CCUACGGGAGGCAGCAGUGAGGAAUAUUGGUCAAUGGGCGCGAGCCUGAACCAGCCAAGCAGCGUGAAGGAUGACUGCCCUACGGGUUGUAAACUUCUUUUAUAAAGGAAUAAAGUGAGGCACGUGUGCCUUUUUGUAUGUACUUUAUGAAUAAGGAUCGGCUAACGCCGUGCCAGCAGCCGCGGUAAUACGGAGGAUCCGAGCGUUAUCCGGAUUUAUUGGGUUUAAAGGGAGCGUAGGUGGGUUGUUAAGUCAGUUGUGAAAGUUUGCGGCUCAACCGUAAAAUUGCAGUUGAUACUGGCAGCCUUGAGUACAGUUGAGGGAUGCGGAAUGCGUGGUGUAGCGGUGAAAUGCUUAGAUAUCACGAAGAACUCCGAUUGCGAAGGCAGCUUACUAAACUGCCACUGACGUUGAUGCUCGAAAGUGUGGGUAUCAAACAGGAUUAGAUACCCCAGUAGUC